GAUGAACGCUAGCGACAGGCUUAACACAUGCAAGUCGAGGGGCAGCAUAAAAGUAGCAAUACUUUGGUGGCGACCGGCGCACGGGUGAGUAACGCGUAUGCAACCUACCUAUCAGAGGGGAAUAACCCGGCGAAAGUCGGACUAAUACCGCAUAAAACAGGGACACCGCAUGGUGAUAUUUGUUAAAGAAAUUCGCUGAUAGAUGGGCAUGCGUUCCAUUAGGUAGUUGGUGAGGUAACGGCUCACCAAGCCGACGAUGGAUAGGGGAACUGAGAGGUUGGUCCCCCACACUGGUACGGAGACACGGACCAGACUCCCACGGGAGGCAGCAGUGAGGAAUAUUGGUCAAUGGGCGAGAGCCUGAACCAGCCAAGUCGCGUGAAGGAAGAAGGAUCUAUGGUUCGUAAACUUCUUUUGCAGGGGAAUAAAGUGCAGGACGUGUCCUGUUUUGUAUGUACCCUGAGAAUAAGGAUCGGCUAACUCUGUGCCAGCCGCCGCCGUAACAC
rnacentral:rRNA from 1 species